ACGAACGCUGGCGGCGUGCUUAACACAUGCAAGUCGAACGGAAAGGCCCUUCGGGGUACUCGAGUGGCGAACGGGUGAGUAACACGUGGGUGAUCUGCCCUGCACUUCGGGAUAAGCCUGGGAAACUGGGUCUAAUACCGGAUAUGACCUUGGGAUGCAUGUCCUUUGGUGGAAAGCUUUUGCGGUGUGGGAUGGGCCCGCGGCCUAUCAGCUUGUUGGUGGGGUUAAGGCCUACCAAGGCGACGACGGGUAGCCG
rnacentral:rRNA from 1 species